UACGUAGGGUGCAAGCGUUGUCCGGAAUUAUUGGGCGUAAAGAGCUCGUAGGCGGUUUGUCGCGUCUGCUGUGAAAACUCGGGGCUUAACCCCGGGCCUGCAGUGGGUACGGGCAGACUAGAGUGCGGUAGGGGAGACUGGAAUUCCUGGUGUAGCGGUGAAAUGCGCAGAUAUCAAGAGGAACACCGGUGGCGAAGGCGGGUCUCUGGGCCGUAACUGACGCUGAGGAGCGAAAGCGUGGGGAGCAAACAGG
rnacentral:rRNA from 1 species